rnacentral:rRNA from 1 species
AUUGAACGCUGGCGGCAUGCCUUACACAUGCAAGUCGAACGGUAACGGGCCUUCGGGUGCCGCCGAGUGGCGAACGGGGGAGUAAUACAUCGGAACGUGCCCGAUCGUGGGGGAUAACGAGUCGAAAACUUUGCUAAUACAGCAGACGAGCUACGGAUGAGAGCGGGGGACCGCAGGGCCUUUCGCGGGCGGGGCGGCCGAUGGCAGCUUAGGUGGUUGGUGGGAUAAAAGCUUACCAAGCCGACGAUCUGUAGCUGGUGUGAGAGGAUGAUGAGCCACACUGGGAGUGAGACAGGGCCCAGAGUACUGCGGGAGGCAGCAGUGGGGAAUUUUGGACAAAGGGCGCAAGCAUGAUACAGCCAUGCCGCGUGUAGGAUGACGGCCUUCGGGUUGUAAACUGCUUUUGUACGGAACGAAAAGCCUUCUUUUAAUACAGGAGGGUCAUGACGGUACCGUAAGAAUAAGCACCGGCUAACUACGUG